GGUAUUUUGACUAUACAAAGGUAUUGAAAUAAGACUUUAAUUGAGUGCUAAGAGAAUGGAAUUACAAAAAAUUUCUUUCUUAAAUUUAAAUAUUGAAGUUAUUUUUAUUUGUGAAGAAACAAUAAUAAUAAUUAAGGACAAGAAGACCCUAAGAAUUUUCAAAAAUGGUAAUCAAUUUUUGAAUUACUAUUUUUUUAAUUGGGGCGAUUAAUAAAUAUUAAAAACUUUAUUUUUAUUUAAAAUGAACCAAUAUUAGUGGCAAAAUGAAAAAAAUACUCUAGGGAUAACAGCGUAAUAAUUUUUGAUAGUUCUUAUAGACAAAAUAGUUUGCGACCUCGAUGUUGGAUUAGGAUACUUUUUUAAUGAAGAAGUUAAAAAAAGGAGUU
rnacentral:rRNA from 1 species